rnacentral:rRNA from 1 species
UACGUAGGUGGCGAGCGUUAUUCGGAUUUAUUGGGCGUAGAGGGUUCGUAGGGGGCUAGGUAAGUUUGAUGUGAAAUCCUGCGGCUUAACUGCAGAACUGCAUUGGAUACUGCCUGGCUAGAGGUUCGGAGAGGAAAGCAGAAUUCCCGGUGUAGCGGUGGAAUGCGUAGAUAUCGGGAGGAAUACCAAAAGCGGAGGCAGCUUUCUGGCCGACACCUGACCCUGAGGAACGAAAGCCUGGGGAGCAAACAGG